GGCUUUAUAGUCAAUAUGUUAUAUGAUAUUAGACUGCAAUUCUAAAGUAGGUAACACCUAAAGCUU
rnacentral:tRNA from 1 species